GUCGGCAUGUUGGCAUGUUCCUGUAGUCCUAGCUACUUGGGAGGCUGAGGAGGGAGGAUCGCUUGAGCCCAAGAGUUCUGGGCUGUAGUGUGCUAUGCUAAUCGGAUGGCCAGUUCGGCAUCAAUAUGGUGACCUCCUGGGAGCGGGGGACCACCAGGUUGCCUAAGGAGGUCAGAAAUGGAGCAGGUAAAAACUCUCAUGCUGAUCAGUGGUGGGGUCAUGCCUGUGAAUAGCUAUUGCACUCCAGCCUGGGCAACAUAGUGAGACCCCACCCCAU
ensembl:misc_RNA Metazoa_SRP Metazoan signal recognition particle RNA